rnacentral:rRNA from 1 species
GAUGAACGCUAGCGGGAGGCCUAACACAUGCAAGCCGAGCGGUAUUGUUUCUUCGGAAAUGAGAGAGCGGCGUACGGGUGCGUAACACGUGUGCAACCUGCCUUUAUCUGGGGGAUAGCCUUUCGAAAGGAAGAUUAAUACUCCAUAAUAUAACUGAAUGGCAUCAUUUAGAUAUUAAAGCUCCGGCGGUUAAAGAUGGGCGUGCGUCUGAUUAGGUAGUUGGCGGGGUAACGGCCCACCAAGCCUGCGAUCAGUAGCGGAUGUGAGAGCAUGAUCAGCCACACGGGCACUGAGACACGGGCCCGACUCCUACGGGAGGCAGCAGUAAGGAAUAUUGGUCAAUGGACGCAAGUCUGAACCAGCCAUGCCGCGUGGAGGAUGAAGGCCCUCUGGGUUGUAAACUUCUUUUCUUUGGGACGAAACCCCUGUUUCUACGGGGACUGACGGUACCAGAGGAAUAAGCACCGGCUAACUCCGUGCCAGCCGCCGCCGUAA